UAUCAGCAAUUUUUCUCAUUUUAACUUAGACAAAAUUUCCAGCUUUCUAGGUUUUUCACUCUUGUUCUCUCUUGGCUAAACAACCCUAUAAUUCCACAAGGGUUCCUGGGAUUUACCUUCCUUCCAAGCUAAAGGGAUUAAGCUAUUGAGGAAAUACACAUUAAGACACUAAAAUACCAAGGAAAUAAAGAUAAGUAAUCUAAAAGUGCGGGAAGUCGAGUUGGGAUGGUAUUGGAGUUUUACAACCAGGCACAGGUGCUUCGGCAAACACGCCUCCUCAGUAGGAGCCCAGGAUAUCCAUCUGCUAUUGGUGAGCUCCAGUUUGCUUCGGGGCUUUCCAAGUCAGUUCCAUAUAUUUUUGGUAUUAUAUAAAAGUUGAUAGUAUGACGGGGGUUUGUCCCAGCCUUAGCUAAAUUUUGUGUAUCGUCUUGAGGCUUUGUAGACCAAUGUAAAGUUAAGCAUGGUAGUGUGUUAUCGUGUAGAUGUUAUGGCCCCAACGGCCUAGUCUAUUAUGUAUAUAGUUUUAGGGCUUGUCGUUUAUAUUUUUUUUUCAUUAAGGCAUUAAUCCAUAUAUGGAAAAACCUUUGCCUAUUAUAGUAGCAUGCAUGUGAAUUCCAAGGUUA